CGAGGACAUGUUGUGAGCUUGUGUUAUUGAUUUCGACGGUCAUUGGGAUCAUCACUUACCAUUGGCGGUGUUUGCGUACAACAAUAAUUAUCAUUUGAGUAUUGUCAUAGCGCCUUUUGAGGCUUUAUAUGGUAGGAGAUGUAGAUCUCCGGUAGGCUAGUUUGAUGGGUUCGAGGUUCGACCUUGGGGUACGGAUCUGUUAAGAAAGGCCCUUGAUAGAGUGAAAGUUAUUCAGGCCAAGCAUUUAGCAGCUCAGAGUCGGUAGAAGGUGUAUACGGACCGAAAGGUCCGAGAUCUAGAGUUUGUUGUUGGUGACCAGGUUCUAUUGAAGAUUUCACCUAUGAAGGGUGUUAUGAGGUUUGGGAAGAGGAGCAAGUUGAGCCCUAGGUAUAUUGGCCAAUUUGAGAUUGUUGACCGUGUGGGCGAUGUUGCUUAUGAGUUAGCCUUGUCGCCAGGCUUGGCGGGAGUUCAUCCGAUUUUCAUCUUUCUAUGCUGAAGAAGUACCAUGCUGACGGUACUUACAUUGUUCAUUGGGAUUCGAUAUUACUUGAUGAGAAUUUGAUCUAUGAGGAGCAGCCUAUUGAGAUCUUGGAUAGGCAGAUUCGAAAGUUGAGGUCCAAGGAGAUUGCUUCUGUGAAGGUGCAAUGGAAGCAUCGUCCUGUUGACGAGGCUACUUGGGAGAGUGAGUCCGACAUGCGUAGCCGGUAUCCCCAGUUGUUCGCUGAUUCAGGUACUUCCUCGCUCUUUUUCUUUCUUCGUUCGAGGACGAGCAAUGGUUUAAUUGGUAUACGAUGUAACGACCCGCUUGGUCGUUAUAGUCUUUCAGGCACUUUCGCCUCUUUUCGAGCUUGGUUAGCUCACUUUUGACCAGAGGGGACCAUUGACACACUUCCCGAGGUGUCUAGAUUUUAUUCGAGCGACUUUUUGUGAAAUUUGGACUUAAAGUGAAAAAGAGUUGACUCAAAGUUGACUUUUGGGUAAAUGGACCUUUUUCAAAAAUUCAUAUAUUCCGCAAGGUCCGGAUGAUCAUUUAGAACUUGUGUGUAUAUCUGGUUCGAUUCCCAAUGCACUCGGAUGCAUUUUGGGACUUGGGUUGGGAAGUUAAAAUUGAGGUAUUGGGGGUUGACUCAGUUAACGAGACCUCCGUUAGAAAUUUCGAGGCUACUAGUGUGAUCGUAGCGUGUUUUUAUGUGUGUCUUUCUAUGUGGUUUGUGAGCAGAUGGCCUCAAGAAUUAGACGAAAAUUCGAGUUGAUUUGUGAAAAUGAGAAUAGUUUCUGGUGUCUGGUGCCCGCUUUGGCGGCACCAGCAUCGCGGCAGCGGUACCGCUGUAGCGGUCACCCUGCCGCUGAAGCGGUCUGUGCCAUUUGGGCAUGACCGCUGUAGCGGUCAUGGGACCGCUGGGGCGGCACCGCUGGAGCGGUAAUAUUGUCGCGGAAGCGGGUGACGGGCAGUUAGUUCAUUAAAUGAAGUGUUAAAUGCCUUAAGUCCCUCAUUUAUUUCCAUUCCAAAAAUUGAGCUCUUGGGAACAAUUCUAGAGGAUUCUUGGUGAAGAUUCUUGGUGGUAAGUCCUUCCAAUCCCUUUGCUAUUUCAUAAUCCCUAAUCAUCUUAGAAUCUCUUUUUUCCUUAUUAGUUCAUCAUAAUGGAAGAUUAAAGUGGGUUUAAUGGAUAUUUCAUCUACGCUUCUAAAUCAAGAAUUGUUGGUUAGGUUCAUGCUACAUUACGAUGUAUCUAAGGUUGUUAAUCAAAUACCUUCCAUUAUUAGUGUUGAAUUCUUGAAUUUAAGAGUUAGGGUUUACACCCAAAAAAUUAGGGGUUUUGCUUGGAUUUCGAAAUUGGAUGAAUCAUUGAGUUAAUUUAGCAAUUGGUUGAUGGGUUUUGAUCACCUUGUGCAUAAUUGGAUAAUUUGCCCCCGAAUUUCCCGUUUUGACCUUGUGGGCCCCGUUUCCCCAAAUUCUUGCGUUGCUUUUGACCUAAUUUGAACGAUAGCAAUAUAGGUAUCGAUCUUUAUGAGUUCUAAUCUCGAUUUCAAAUAUGCCUAGACUUUCUUGAUCUUAAGGCUCAGCUGAAAGGGAAGGCUAAGGAGUGACUGUUGGUGUUAUUGUUGUUUGGCCUUCCAGGUAGGUUAUAGCUUAACCUUGGUGAGAAUUUGUGUAGCGAAGCAUAUAUUUAGAUGAUAAUAUCAGAGAAAGCAUGUAAACCUUGGGGUAUGAUGUUGGGUUGGAUAUUGUCUUAGAUUAGGCCUUGUUGUGUGAUUGGGGCUAUCCACCGGUUGUGUUGUGACUUGAUUGGUCUAUGGUUAUUUCGCUUGAUGUCGUGUGGUAAUAGUAGAUAUUGGAGACUAUUGAUAUAUCUUGUUCAUGAUAUUAUGGUACCUCACUUGUUGAUGUUGAUAUGGGGAUAGUAUUCUAUAUGACUUGUGUAGUCUUUCAUGAUAUGGUUGGCGUAUACUUGUGAUAUUGAUCUGAUUAUUGAUGUUGACUCAUACAUUGCACGGAUUCUCAUCCUUCAUGAUAUACUGUUGAUACAUUGGUGAUACUUGAGGAAACAGUGUGAUGAGCUGGGCUCUGUUUGCAUGAGAGUGACGUGAGAGUCUGAUAUCCGAUGGUUGUCCCGGAAUCAUGGAUUGAGUGACACGAUUUCUAAGGUUUGUGCCGAAAGCGUGAGGUACAUGGACUUUGCGGGUCCCCCAUGGGUUGUGCUAUCGAGACGCUGAUACUUUCGUCCAGAGUACAUAUGUACACAACAUUGCAUUGCAUUUUCAUUCUUACAUCAUUGCAUUCCAUUGCAUUGUGGCUUAUUGUGAUGAUCUGGUGAUUUACUUGUGUUGUUGGUUUCAGAUUGGACAUGUUGAGACUGGGCACACUUGGGUUUAGAUGCUUCAACCUAGGUGAUGGCGGGUUGGAUCUGCUUUCGUCUCCCGUGGCUGAUAGUCGCUAUCAGUAUAGCUUAGAUUUUACAGGGUGAGCACGAGAUGUUCGCUGCCUUAAAGACUCCUCUUAUCUAUGUCUUAUUUUCCAUUCUGAGACAUAUUCAGACUUGGUGUAUUCUUAUAUUUCCAGACUUGUAGAUUUCUAGGUAGAUGCUCUUGUAUGGAUUAGACCAUACUCUGGGGUGUAUUUUCUUAUUUCCGCACUUGAAUUAUACUAUUAUUGUCAGACUUACGUGAUUUAUUC